ensembl:snoRNA
AAUGGCCCUCACCAAAGCUGCAGCUGCUUCCCCAUGGUUGCUGAGGUCAAAAAUGGACCCCAAGUGACAGUUGUCCUUGACAGGCAUUGUUCUGUUAGCUGUUAUAACAUUUUGGGAAAAUACAGUU